rnacentral:rRNA from 1 species
CCCGUGAGGGAUGCGGCCUUCGGGUUGUAACCUCUUUCAGUAGGAAGAAGCGAAAGUGACGGUCCUGCAGAAGAAGCGCCGGCUAACUACGUGCCAGCAGCCGCGGUAAUACGUAGGGCGCAAGCGUUAUCCGGAAUUAUGGGCGUAAAGAGCUCGUAGGCGGUUUGUCGCGUCUGCUGUGAAAGACCGGGGCUCAACUCCGGUUCUGCAGUGGGUACGGGCAGACUAGAGUGCAGUAGGGGAGACUGGAAUUCCUGGUGUAGCGGUGAAAUGCGCAGAUAUCAGGAGGAACACCGAUGGCGAAGGCAGGUCUCUGGGCUGUAACUGACGCUGAGGAGCGAAAGCAUGGGGAGCGAACAGGAUUAGAUACCCUGGUAGUCCAUGCCGUAAACGUUGGGCACUAGGUGUGGGGGACAUUCCACGUUUUCCGCGCCGUAGCUAACGCAUUAAGUGCCCCGCCUGGGGAGUACGGCCGCAAGGCUAAAACUCAAAGGAAUUGACGGGGGCCCGCACAAGCGGCGGAGCAUGCGGAUUAAUUCGAUGCAACGCGAAGAACCUUACCAAGGCUUGACAUGAACCGGUAAUACCUGGAAACAGGUGCCCCGCUUGCGGUCGGUUUACAGGUGGUGCAUGGUUGUCGUCAGCUCGUGUCGUGAGAUGUUGGGUUAAGUCCCGCAACGAGCGCAACCCUCGUUCUAUGUUGCCAGCGGUUCGGCCGGGGACUCAUAGGAGACUGCCGGGGUCAACUCGGAGGAAGGUGGGGACGACGUCAAAUCAUCAUGCCCCUUAUGUCUUGGGCUUCACGCAUGCUACAAUGGCCGGUACAAAGGGUUGCGAUACUGUGAGGUGGAGCUAAUCCCAAAAAGCCGGUCUCAGUUCGGAUUGGGGUCUGCAACUCGACCCCAUGAAGUCGGAGUCGCUAGUAAUCGCAGAUCAGCAACGCUGCGGUGAAUACGUUCCCGGGCCUUGUACACACCGCCCGUCAAGUCACGAAAGUUGGUAACACCCGAAGCCGGUGGCCUAACCCUUGUGGGGGGAGCCGUCGAAGGUAACCCCCGCG